rfam:Acidithiobacillus ferrooxidans ATCC 23270, complete genome.
CUGGGCUUAGGCCUAAUACUCACACGUGCCAAUACAGGGCAGCCGGGUGUCCGUAAGGAUGGCUGCAUGGGGCGCGUGGCGGAUCAUAAC